GUAUUCGCACAUUUCUGUUAGAAUCUGAAGAACAUGAAUGCCCAGAUUGUAAAGAGAAAGAUGUAUCACUGGAGACUCUUAUUCCAAAUCGAUUUUUACGUAAUGCAGUAAUGAAUUUUAAGAAUGAAACUGAUUAUGUCAAAAGACUUAUCGGCCUACUAUUCAAAGUGGUGGACAAUCUGUAGCAUCAACAGAUCAACCCAAAGUUUAAGCGCAGCAAACUAUGAGUCAAGUAUCUUCUCAAGCUCAAGCUAUAUAAUCAUCCAUUGCUCUUAAUGUACCAUCGCAAGAAUCUGUGGAAUCGCAACCCACUAAUCUUGAAUCUGCCUCGCAACAUUUCUCAACUGCCACUUAUGGUUAGCAGCCACAGACAUCAACCAGGACUGAUAAAAAUAAGAUUGGACGCUCGAUUCUCAGGUUUAUGUCUCCAGUCGGCGAAAAGAUAGUCAAAGAGCGGACAAGCAAAUGUUACUAAUACGAACUUGUUGUGGAGAUCUUGAUGUCAAUGACAUUUCGUUACAGUAUGAAUCAAGUUUCAAAAUUCAAUCAUAGUUCAUUAUAAGUUCAUUUGAAGUUAUAACGUUGAAUAAUAUAAUAGAAUACUAUAAUAAAUAAUAUCGGAGCAUUCAAUUUAAAUUUUAACACCGGAAUUAAUUAUUAUAAAAGAUAUAUAUAUCAGAUUUUAUUAAUUCGUUUAUACAUAAUAUAUUUUGCGCAAUCAUGACAGAAGACAACUGUGAAAUUGUUUAAAAAUUUACUAGAAUAUAUUUUUUUUUUAAACAUGAAAUGCAAUAUAAAAAAACAAUAUAGA